GACGAACGCUGGCGGCGUGCUUAACACAUGCAAGUCGAACGGAAAGGCCCUGCUUUUGUGGGGUGCUCGAGUGGCGAACGGGUGAGUAACACGUGAGUAACCUGCCCUUGACUUUGGGAUAACUUCAGGAAACUGGGGCUAAUACCGGAUAGGAGCUCCUGCUGCAUGGUGGGGGUUGGAAAGUUUCGGCGGUUGGGGAUGGACUCGCGGCUUAUCAGCUUGUUGGUGGGGUAGUGGCUUACCAAGACUUUGACGGGUAGCCGGCCUGAGGGGGUGACCGGCCACAUUGGGACUGAGAUACGGCCCAGACUCCUACGGGAGGCAGCAGUGGGGAAUAUUGCACAAUGGGCGGAAGCCUGAUGCAGCAACGCCGCGUGCGGGAUGACGGCCUUCGGGUUGUAAACCGCUUUCGCCUGUGACGAAGCGUGAGUGACGGUAAUGGGUAAAGAAGCACCGGCUAACUACGUG
rnacentral:rRNA from 1 species